rnacentral:rRNA from 1 species
CGUUAGCGGCGGACGGGUGAGUAACACGUGGGUAACCUACCUAUAAGACUGGGAUAACUUCGGGAAACCGGAGCUAAUACCGGAUAAUAUUUCGAACCGCAUGGUUCGACAGUGAAAGAUGGUUUUGCUAUCACUUAUAGAUGGACCCGCGCCGUAUUAGCUAGUUGGUAAGGUAACGGCUUACCAAGGCGACGAUACGUAGCCGACCUGAGAGGGUGAUCGGCCACACUGGAACUGAGACACGGUCCAGACUCCUACGGGAGGCAGCAGCU